rnacentral:rRNA from 1 species
CAUUACAGAAUGAACUUGAUGGAUUGUAGCUNGGCUCUUCCGGGAGCACUUGUGCACGUCUGUCAUUUUUAUCUUACCACCUGUGCACACUUUGUAGAUCUGGAGGCAUCUUCACAGACUUUGUCUGUGGUUUAUGGGGAGCUGUCGUGCCUUUGUGUCGACUCUCUCUGGUCUUUUCAGGUCUAUGUUUUUACAUCUACUCCAUCGCAUGUAAAGAAUGAAUCUAUGGCAGCUUCAUGCAGCCUAUAAAACUAGUACAACUUUCAGCAACGGAUCUCUUGGCUCUCGCAUCGAUGAAGAACGCAGCGAAAUGCGAUAAGUAAUGUGAAUUGCAGAAUUCAGUGAAUCAUCGAAUCUUUGAACGCACCUUGCGCUCCUUGGUAUUCCGAGGAGCAUGCCUGUUUGAGUGUCAUUAAAUUCUCAACCAUCCCAUUUUCUUUUGAACUUGGGCUGUGUUGGAUGUGGGGAUCUGCCAGCGCUUAUUACUUAAGACUUGGCUUCCCUUAAAUGUAUUAGCUAGAGCGCUUCUGUUGACUAGCCGCUAGUGUGAUAAUAUCUACACUGUGACCAAGCCAGCCUUUGAAAUGAAGGAACUCUGCUUCAAAUCGUCUGCUUGCAGACAAUCUAUGACAACUUGACCUCAAAUCAGGUAGGACUACCCGCUGAACUUAAGCAUAU